rnacentral:rRNA from 1 species
UACAGAGGGUGCGAGCGUUAAUCGGAAUUACUGGGCGUAAAGCGUGAGUAGACGGUUAUUUAAGUCGGAUGUGAAAGCCCCGGGCUCAACCUGGGAAUUGCAUUCGAGACUGAAUAGCUAGGGUACGGUAGAGGGAAGUGGAAUUUCCGGUGUAGCGGUGAAAUGCGCGGAUAUCAGGAGGAACACCUAUUGCGAAGGCAGCUCGCUGGGACGUAACUGACGCUGAGACGCGAAAGCGUGGGGAGCAAACAGG